UACGUAGGGUGCAAGCAUUAAUCGGAAUUAUUGGGCGUAAAGGGCGCGUAGGCGGUUAGGAAAGUCAGAUGUGAAAUUCCGGGGCUCAACCUCGGAGCUGCAUUUGAAACUACCUGACUAGAGGGUUGACGGAGAAAACGGAAUUCCACGUGUAGCGGUGAAAUGCGUAGAUAUGUGGAAGAACACCAGUGGCGAAAGCGGUUUUCUAGUUAAUACCUGACGCUGAGGCGCGAGAGCAAGGGGAGCAAACAGG
rnacentral:rRNA from 1 species